UGAAGAUCAAGAUCGUAAUCCCGCCGGUCCGAUGUAAACAAACAAUCCUCGUGCUUGGUUUAAGGUCUCGCCUCAGGGUCCUCUUCCAGAAAACAGGACUCUGGUGUUGAGGAAGGCAAAUAGCAUUCACAACCUGUUUCCUUUGUACUAUAAAGUCACUCAAGGAGACACUCUCCUUACUCAGUACCCAUUCCACAAUGUUCCACCCUGUCCACAUUGCCCAGGCUGUGAAGAUAUUUUGAAUUACAUAACCUGAGAGGAUUACUACAAUGUUAAGGGCACUGAGCAGAGUGAUCCUACAGCCUAAGAAAGCUGGGCUAGUAAAAUGUAGAACUGAAGUCCAGAUCUGUUUACGUGCCUUUCCUGAAAGGAGUCUGUGCCAGUCCUUUUAUUCUGUCAUUCCACAAAAGAAUGCUACAGAGGAAAGUCUAUUCAGUAAAAAGCUUUUGGAGUAUAUAAGAGGCAAUGCUGAGUAUGCUGCAUCUGUCAAAUCCUUGCCUGAUCAGUCUAACUUCAGUAGCACUGUGAAUGCUUUAAAAGGACAUCAGCUGCAUCUUGUAAUAGCACAUAGUUCAGAAUUAAAACCAAAUUUUAUUCUUGAGUUGUUCACUCAUUAUGCCUCAGAGAAGCAGAAUAUAACACAAGAUAUAAUCAGUAAAAAAGGUCUUAUGUCCAUGGUCAAGGAAAGAGUUUUUCAAGCCAUCCCACUCAUGACUCAAAAUGAACUUAGGAAAUUUGCUGUAAUUAUAAGAAAUUUAAAGUUUGAGAGAAGCAGAUAUUUAAUUGACAUUGCAGGAAGAAUUGUCCAGGAGUGCGGUCAGAGAGCUGCAGAGGUUGCCCUUGAGCAGUGUCUACAUUUUUUUGAUAUAAUGUUAAUCUUACAUGGAAACAAUAUUUACAGAAAGAAACAGUUUGAUAUAUUCAUAUCACUCUUUGAAUAUCAUACAGCAACAGCAACACCUCAUCAGCUUGUACAAAUUCUUCACUAUAUUAGUUUUGCAAAGAAAAAUAGACUUAGCAGAGAAUAUGUUCAUGUUCUCAUUACAAAGUUGGAAGAAGUUCUUGAGCAUUUAUCCUUUGUAGAUUAUGGCAUAGCAUUGAAUGGGAUGUUCAAAUGCAAUGUUAAAUUGGAUAAAUCAUCAUCACUCAUAAAGAAAACAGCAAAGUGGUUACAAGUGAAAGCUGAGCAAUCAGAAAGACUAAGUGAUCUUGAGUCAUUUGCUUUUGUUGCAAUGGUGAAAGUUAUAAGAGCUGCAAAAUAUUAUGAUAAGGACCUUUUAUCAUCAAUUGGGACUUUCAUAAUGAAAUCUACUGUAGACACUCUUCAGCCUGAGGUAAUUGCACAUACAUUAGCUCUAUAUGCAAACAGCCAAGUGUAUGAUUUAGAAAUUUUUACAAAAGUGGAGUCUUUAGUACUGCAGCACUUGACUAACCCUACGCAAACAAUUCGUGUAAAGGAUAUUAGUAGAAUUCUGUGGAGUUUCAGUCAUGUAGGGCAUAAAGGAAGUGACUGCUUUUUGGACAUUAUAGCAAAUGUUCUUAUAAGAUCUGUUCACAUGGGUAAAUUAGAGUUUUAUCCAGAGCAUCUCUCAGGUUCUCUCUUUUCUAUGGCUGUGCUGGGCUACUAUCCCAAGGAACUUAUUAAAGAAGCCUUUCAGCCACAGAAAGUUGAGAAGCUAAAAGGUUACCAAAGAAGCAAGCAGCUGUCCAGACUUAUGGCAUUACAUCAAGCUGUUAAAAUAGAGGUUCCUGAGGUUAAUGUAGCUAUUCCUGAAACACACAUGAAUGAUCUGCCCAAGAGGACUUUGUCAGAUGAGAUGC